CCCACACGCCGCCGGCGCUCCGGGCCCCUCAGGUUUGCUGUUGCAGACAUCCUGAUACUACGACGCUACAUUUGUAAUUGUGUUGAAUAUAUGCACAGAAUCUACCAUUCAAACCAUUUGCAGGUGUGGCUCCAGCGACAUUAAAUGCAUGGACACUCCUGCGCGACCAUUACCACCAUCCGGUUCUGGAACUUUUCAACAUCCCGGAUUGAGACUCUGCGCCCGUCAAGCCACCGCCGCGUUCCUGCUUCGGCUCAGCCCCGGGAAGGCGCCCUUCUACUUUCUGUCGCUAGAACCUGACCCUUUGGGCCCCCCUGCAGGAUCUUCCUAUGUGCUAAGCAAUGUGAUGAUAAUUAGAGGUUCACAGCCAUCUUCCAGUUUUUCUUUUGGAAUAGAGAAAACCGUUUCCUGAUGUGCCAGAGUAAAGCGGCCUCCAGCUCGAGCCUGCUACAGUAGCCACAGCUUCGCCCACAUCGCAUCUAGCUUCAUCAGGCGUCCAGGUGCAAGCAUUCUUCACAGUAUACAGCAGUUGACAAGCUGAAGAUAACCAGAACUUUCGUAGAAGUCAAAAAUGUGGUUUCCAGCCAAGACACGAAGAGCAAUGUCCACGCUUGUGUAGGGUUGAAAGUGCUUGAGUGUCCAGCGCUAACAUAGAAGAUUCGGUGCCAGUUAUGCCAUUAAGACAUUCAAAACCCUGUGUUGUGAUGGAGUGGGCAGUGAGAGCCUGGGGAACUUGGAAAAAUCAUUUUGGUAAGCAAACAUUUACGAUUUUAAAUGGAGAAGCUAACGGUUGUUUAAUGUCAAGAACUAUAAGACAGAGCAUCUGAGCAAG